rnacentral:rRNA from 1 species
UACGGGGGGGGCAAGCGUUGUUCGGAAUUACUGGGCGUAAAGGGCUCGUAGGUGGCCAACUAAGUCAGACGUGAAAUCCCUCAGCUUAACUGGGGAACUGCGUCUGAGACUGGAUGGCUUGAGUGCAGGAGAGGAACGCGGAAUUCCAGGUGUAGCGGUGAAAUGCGUAGAUAUCUGGAGGAACACCGGUGGCGAAGGCGGCGUUCUGGACUGCAACUGACACUGAGGAACGAAAGCCAGGGGAGCAAACGGG